UCCUCUUUAGCCCAGUUGGUAGAGCGCUCCAUUGGAAAUGAGAGGUCCUUGGUUCGAUACCAGGACCAGGCG
rnacentral:tRNA from 1 species